AUCAGUCAUCGCUAAAUCCGAUCAUGUCAAUAACGUUUCCCUCAUCAUAACCCGCACAGUACCAGUACGUAUAGGACGUGGUGCGAAUAGUUUGAUGCGACUGCAUGUACAUGUACAUCAUUGCACCUGCAUAGCUAAGUCGUGAUCUUGAACGUACUCAACUACAGUUCUUGAUUGAACUCCUUGGCAAAGACAAUAAGCAACACGUGCUCAUACCCUGCACCGAGUCAAGUUCACUGAUAAACUACUCCACACACAAGAAAGAUCAACAUGCCUGACGUGUCCUUACCGAAGGUGAAAAAACCGAGCAAAUGCAAGCUGUGUUUCCUCCGUUGUUUUGCUUGCUGUUGUCCGUGCAUGAAGCCACGCCUACCAGGCCAGAAAAAGAAAUGUUGUUGCUGCUGACAGCGCUAACACUUGAUGGACGCCCUGAUGGCAUCCUUUAAUGGUCUACACAAUGUAAAAUUCAGUCAGCGAUCAAAAUGCAGUGUUGCAGUAUCUCAACCACCUGGAACAAUGAGAAUUGAGUUUUAUCAUUCAACAGCAAACGACUUGAACGGUGACGGGGGUUACGGCCUUGGAUAUUUUGUAUUUUUUUAAAAAGAGUUUUGCCGGCGUUUCAUGAUGUUCAUUAGUAAAGAACUUUAGUACUAUUUACCAGUAUUAAAUAAAGACAUGUCUCGUAUAACGCCGUUAAUUCUGUAGUGUUUUAAGUAAACAUAAUUCCGAUAAA